GCCUUAAGGUGAUGUUCAUGUCGAAUUGCAAAUUCGGAGGAGUAGGAAACCCCCUACUAAGGCUU
rnacentral:tRNA from 1 species